UUUUAAAGUCUUGUGCCAAAGUCAACCCGCCAAACAUUGCGUGGAACUUCGAUUACCUGCUUAAGAAAAGGUAAAUGGCUGAGCUGAUGCUUCCAGGAUAUGAACCUUUGGUUGCAGGGAGUGCAAAACACAGCCCACUCCACAGACAUUCCCCAGCUCUCCGCGUGGGGGGCAAGGCUCAGCUUGUGGUCGGCCUGAGAUUCUAUCAGGAUUAGUCACUGUCUGAAAGCGAAGUAUUGCCGUUGGGGUUGUUUUUAAGCCUGGGUGACUAUUCGGGUGAGAAAGCUGACUCCCCUUCUAGCCCCGAGCACUACCCGUGUCCGGCAGUGCCGAGCAGGCACCAACCGGAGCGAGGAAAGAGCAACUUUGGAACAUUAACGAAAAGCACCUUUCUGCUUCGGCGGGGAAAUAGAAAUAUCCGGACAAGGGCAUACCCGACGCAUCCCCCCCCCCGAACAGAUCUGCAACGAGAGCGAGACAGAGAGCGAAGGAGCCGGCCAAAUCAGCCUGCAGAUGGAGCCGCGCUGGAUCCGACCCCGUGGCUCACCGCCGUGGUACGCACCUGUUUCAGCUCAUUAGUGAAGUAAAGGAAAGUCACCGCCACGCAAAUGGAUUGCAGCAGCACAGCGGAGAUCAGCACGAGCCCACAGGUCUGGCCGGCGCUGGGGCCAGCCGUCGGCAGCAUCAUGGUGGCUGUGCGCGCACAGGGAAGACCCACAAGACUGGGAGAGCCAGCAAGGCAAGGGCGGUUGUUAUUGUUGGCUUUGUUUGAGGUGGAGCUCUUCCUGGUUGAGCAGGGCUGUAGACUUUGUCUCUCGUCCACCCCCCUUAGAGGAUUUCCCUGCUGGCUGCUCUCCAGGAAAUAGGGAGGGGGGGGG